AUUCAAAGAUUGGAAAAACAAUUAAGAAAUCAAGCUCAACCAUGAAAGACACUGCUUCUCAGAAACUUCCUUGUGUGUAUAAUAAGUCGUUUGUCUUAAAACUCUACGCCGGGUGCCGGCAUCCAACGCCAUCUCCCCAACUCUUGACUCUUCACCUUUCUUCUUCUUCUUCUGCAGAAGGACAUCGCAUUGAACUCUCUUCAUUCAAAUCGGAGCUACCCAAGUAGCCCAACCGUUUGAAGCGGGCCAGGACAGGACAGGACAGGACAGGACAGGACCCAAAACUGGUGGUGGGCUCCCCUUCUCACUCUCUGAAAGGGGCUAAGGCUGAGGAGAAGUUGAUCCAUUUGAUAAAAUCCAAUUUAUUUUGCUUCUAGGUUUGAGAUGGUUUCCAUAGAUGAAAAGACAGACCUUGAAUAUGAUGAAGAGAUCCCAUUUAGCUCGUCAUCAGCCACCGGUAAAAUGGAGGCCUUGGAUUUUGAGAUGAUCCAUUUGCAUUCCCGGGCAGAAUUGGCAAACUCAUGGAUUUCAAGACAUAUACGGAUGAGAGUUCCGAAGAGUAUCUACUUUGUCUUGAUCAAAGCAAAAAUCAACGUAUUGCUACCGUUUGGUCCGUUAGCGAUUUUGCUACAUUACCUUACUGGACAGCAUGGAUGGGUUUUCUUCUUCAGCUUAGUGGGCAUUGUGCCUUUGGCAGAGCGUCUAGGAUAUGCGACUGAGCAACUUGCUUUCUACACAGGACCAACAGUUGGAGGUCUUUUAAAUGCCACAUUUGGAAAUGCAACGGAAAUGAUUAUAUCAAUUUAUGCAUUAAAGAAUGGAAUGAUUAGGGUUGUUCAGCAAUCUUUAUUGGGAUCAAUCUUGUCCAACAUGCUUUUAGUGCUCGGAUGUGCCUUCUUCACUGGUGGAAUCGUUCAUUACCAGAAAGUUCAGGUUUUCAACAAGUCUGCCGCCGUUGUGAAUUCAGGAUUGCUGUUGAUGGCUGUCAUGGGGUUAACAUUUCCAGCUGUGCUUCAUUUUACACACUCAGAGGUCCAUUUCGGGAAGUCAGAGUUAUCUCUUUCAAGAUUUAGCAGCUGUGUAAUGCUAGUGGCAUAUGCGAGCUACCUUUUCUUUCAACUUAGAAGUCAUCGUAAUCUUUAUAGUCCUAUUGAGGAGGAAGGAAACCAGGGUGGAGAUGAUUCUGAUGAAGAGGAGGCUCCUGAGAUAACUCACUGGGAAGCAAUUGGCUGGCUUGCUAUUUUAACUGUGUGGGUGUCCAUUUUGUCUGGAUACCUUGUUGAUGCUAUCCAGGGGGCAUCUGACUCAUUCAACAUGCCUGUGGCAUUUAUCAGUGUUAUACUGCUCCCAAUUGUAGGAAAUGCUGCAGAGCAUGCAAGUGCUAUCAUGUUUGCCAUGAAGGACAAGCUUGACAUCACACUUGGAGUUGCUAUUGGAUCUUCUACACAAAUAUCCAUGUUUGUGUUGUUGGAUGGAUUAUGGGACAGCGAAUGGACUUGAAUUUUCAACUCUUUGAGACUGCUACACUUUUUAUUACAGUGUUAGUAGUGGCAUUUAUGUUGCAGGAAGGGACAUCAAACUAUUUUAAAGGCUUGAUGCUUAUUCUGUGCUAUCUCAUAGUUGCAGCCAGUUUCUUUGUACAUGUCGAUCCUUCAGACGAUGAUGAUUAAACUAACCAUUGGAAUGGUGGCCAUACAUGUAAGAAUCUAUCUAUCUAUCUAUCUAUCCAUCUAUAGGAGAUAUACAGGAAGCUACGCUUCCGCAGCCUUCUCAAGCCUGUGAUAUGCAUUUUAUUUGCUUUAUUUUUGUUGAUCAUAGAACGGAAAAUCCAAAUGAUCCCCCAAGCAUCAAAAGUCUGCAAACUUCCUCAGCUUUGUAUAAUAUAGUAUGAUUCUCUUCAGAAGCAUGGACACUCCGUUUUGCAAUGGUUUUCGACAAAAUGACACGCCUCACCUUCGAAUCAAAAUUUUGUUCUUCGAUCUUUGUUCACUUAGGUUGUGCUCUCUCAAUAAUGUUUGGCCAAUGCCGUAUUUUAAUUUCAAGAUAUUUCAAAACGAUUAAUGUAUCUGUUCAUCUUGAUUA